rnacentral:tRNA from 1 species
CAGACUAUGCCUGAUUAAAGGAUCAUUUUGAUAGAAUGAAUUAUGUUGACAAAUUUAACUGGUCUGA